rnacentral:rRNA from 1 species
UACAGGGGGUGCAAACGUUGCUCGGAAUCAUUGGGCGUAAAGCGCACGUAGGCGGUCGUUCAAGUCGCGUGUGAAAGCCCCCGGCUCAACUGGGGAGGGUCACGCGAUACUGAUCGACUCGAAGGCAGGAGAGGGAAGUGGAAUUCCCGGUGUAGUGGUGAAAUGCGUAGAUAUCGGGAGGAACACCAGUGGCGAAGGCGACUUCCUGGCCUGUUCUUGACGCUGAGGCGCGAAAGCUAGGGGAGCAAACGGG